GGUUCGAUGGUGUAGUUGGUUUAUCACUUCUGUCUAACAAGAAUGGUCUUGUCGCACAGGCGGUCCUCAGUUCGAACCUGGGUCGAAUCA